GGCCCCGUGGCGCAGUGGUCAGCGCAUUACUGGCUGUUGGCAGCACUCCCACUCUGAGUCGUUGACAGCACACGCAGUAAAGGUCCUCGGUUCAAAUCCCUGUGGGGCCA